rnacentral:rRNA from 1 species
UACGUAGGGUGCAAGCGUUGUCCGGAAUUAUUGGGCGUAAAGAGCUCGUAGGCGGUCUGUCGCGUCUGCUGUGAAAACUCAGGGCUUAACCCUGAGCUUGCAGUGGGUACGGGCAGACUAGAGUGCGGUAGGGGAGACUGGAAUUCCUGGUGUAGCGGUGAAAUGCGCAGAUAUCAGGAGGAACACCGAUGGCGAAGGCAGGUCUCUGGGCAUUAACUGACGCUGAGGAGCGAAAGCAUGGGGGAGCGAACAGG